UCAUAUGUACUUUCCUAUAGCGUCAAUGCAUCAUAUCCCAUUAGAACUUUGCAGUUAAGAGCACUUGGGAUAGAGUGGUAUUGGGAUGGGUGACAUACCAGGAAGUCCUAGUAUUUUACAUGCC
rfam:Picea glauca, whole genome shotgun sequence.